CAAUAGCGUAUAUUAAAGUUGUUGCAGUUAAAAAGCUCGUAGUUGAAUUUCUGUCUAGUACUACCCGAGCGAAUUUUCGUCUUCGUGGUGCAUUCUAGACAUUUCUCCAGGGAACGUUGCUGUGCUUAAAUUGCAUGGUGCGGUAACUGGAACUUUUACUUUGAGAAAAUUAGAGUGUUUCAAGCAAGCAUUUGCUCUGAAUACUGCAGCAUGGAAUAAUUUUAUAAGACUUUGGUCUUAUUUUGUUGGUUUCUAAGGCUAAAGUAAUGAUUGAUAGGGACAGUUGGGGGCAUUCGUAUUUAACUGUCAGAGGUGAAAUUCUUGGAUUUGUUAAAGACGAACUACUGCGAAAGCAUUUGCCAGGGAUGUUUNCAUUA
rnacentral:rRNA from 1 species